rnacentral:rRNA from 1 species
GACGAACGCUGGCGGAGGGAGGAACAGAGGCAAGUCGAACGGAAAGGCCCUGCUUUUGUGGGGUGCUCGAGUGGCGAACGGGUGAGUAACACGUGAGUAACCUGCCCUUGACUUUGGGAUAACUUCAGGAAACUGGGGCUAAUACCGGAUAGGAGCUCCUGCUGCAUGGUGGGGGUUGGAAAGUUUCGGCGGUUGGGGAUGGACUCGCGGCUUAUCAGCUUGUUGGUGGGGUAGUGGCUUACCAAGGCUUUGACGGGUAGCCGGCCUGAGAGGGUGACCGGCCACAUUGGGACUGAGAUACGGCCCAGACUCCUACGGGAGGCAGCAGUGGGGAAUAUUGCACAAUGGGCGGAAGCCUGAUGCAGCAACGCCGCGUGCGGGAUGCCGGCCUUCGGGUUGUAAACCGCUUUCGCCUGUGACGAAGCGUGAGUGACGGUAAUGGGUAAAGAAGCACCGGCUACCUACGUG